rnacentral:rRNA from 1 species
AAUAGAUACCCCGGUAGUCCACGCCGUAAACGAUGGAUGCUAGCUGUUAUGCGUAUCGACCCGUGUAGUAGCGAAGCUAACGCGUUAAGCAUCCCGCCUGGGGAGUACGAACGCAAGUUUAAAACUCAAAGGAAUUGACGGGGACCCGCACAAGCGGUGGAGCGUGUUCUUUAAUUCGAGGCUAAGCGAAGAACCUUACCAGGGCUUGACAUCCUUGGAAUUUCUCCGAAAGGAGAGAGUACUUUAUUGGACCAAGUGACAGGUGCUGCAUGGCCGUCGUCAGCUCGUGUCGUGAGAUGUUUGGUUAAGUCCAUUAACGAGCGCAACCCUUAUGAAUAGUUGUAUUUUUCUAUUCAGACUGCCCCGGUAACGGGGAGGAAGGGGGGAUGAUGUCAGGUCAGUAUUGCCCUUACGCCCUGGGCUAGAAACGCGCUACAAUGGCCGGUACAAUGCGCUGCCAACCCGCGAGGGGGAGCAAAUCGCAUCAAAGCCGGUCCCAGUUCGGAUAAGAGGCUGAAACUCGCCUCUUGAAGCCGGAAUCGCUAGUAAUCGU